CACCGCGAGGAAGAGGAGAAACCACAGGGGAUGCUGGUAUGGUGAAACAGCAAGAGCAAUGGUGACAUUCAGCUGACGUGUGAUCUUCGCUAGUGCUCUACUGACUGACCACUUAGUGUUCUUAUCUUAUAUAAAUACAAGAUCAAUUUUUGUCCCAGGCUGUGACCCACACCAGUUGACUAACACUUAGGUACCCAUUUACUGAUGGUUGAACAUGAACAAUAAGGAAACAUGCCCAAUGUUUCCACCUUAGCCGCUAAUCAAACCCGGACUCUCAGCGUGUGAAUCGAGAGCUAUACCUACCAGGCCACAAGCCAGCCUAAAGUUAGUUGAAGUAAAACAGUCGAAAUGGCUCACCUUACAUUUCAACAAGAGUACAUGCAGAUGCCUCCAGUGACACGAGCUUACACCACUGCUUGUGUUAUUACCACCAUACUUGUUGUGAGUUAACUGGUUCUGUUAGUCUUUAUCAC